rnacentral:rRNA from 1 species
UACGGAGGGUGCGAGCGUUGUCCGGAAUCACUGGGCGUAAAGGGCGCGUAGGCGGCCUUGCAAGUCGGUUGGUGAAAGCCCGGGGCUCAACCCCGGAGGUGCGGCCGAGACUGCAGGGCUGGAGGCCGGAAGAGGAGGGUGGAAUACCCAGUGUAGAGGUGAAAUUCGUAGAUAUUGGGUGGAACACCGGUGGCGAAAGCGGCUCUCGUGGUCCGGACCUGACGCUGAGGCGCGAAAGCGUGGGGAGGCAAACAGG